CUGCGCUCCGACACCCAAUAUCCCCGUGAGCAGAGGGAAUGCCACCCCGCACCGGCAGCUCAGCGUCCCGCCGCGACUUUGCCCAGUGUCACCCGCACGAGGAAAUCGGGCAGUGCGGUGGCGCGGGAGCCGCGCGUCCGGCGGGGCGGAGGGGGAGCGGAGCCCCGCGCAGCCCGGCCCGCCCCCGCCCGGCCCCUGCGGCCGCCCGCGGCCAAGUGCGCGGGGCGGAGCGGCGGCGCCGGCCCGAGAGCCGCAGAGAGCGCCGGCCGGCGGCCCGUGGGGAUGCUGCGCUACAGCUCGGGGCUCACGGUCACCGCCACCACCCCCCGGAGGCCGCCCGGCGACGGCGGCCGCUCCCGGCGGAAGAUGAACGUGUGUAGGCUACGCUUAACAGUGCCACCGGAUGAAGUGUCACAGCCUGAACAGGGACCAAAGGAAACUGAGAGAAAGAAAAGUGAGCUCUACCAUGUACCAAAUGGGAUGUCUCCAGGGAAGCUCUCUCAUGGGAUGGUGUAUGGUGUUGUGCACCGAACUGACAACAACCAUAAAAGAGAAAUGGUGGUUUAUGGCUGGUCAGCUGAUCAGCUGAAAGAGGAGAUGAACUACAUUAAAGAAGUGAGAGCAACUCUGGAAAAAGUAAGAAAGAAAAUGUAUGGUGAAUAUGAUGAAAUGAAACGAAAAAUACAGCAGCUUACAAAUGAACUGAAAGUGACAAAUGCUCAUCAGGAAUCCUUAGAGAAUCAUGUGCGAGUGCAGGCUGCAGCCUUAGAUAGCUUUAGCGAAAUGAACAGCUCCCUGACAUCAGCAUCAAUAGACUUGCAGAAAACUCUAGUGGAUGUUACAUUGGAGAACACUGACAUAAGGGAACAAAUAAGGAAUUUAAAACAUACACACGAGCAAUCUAUGGAAAAGCUGAGAGAGAAGCAAAAGCAACUGGAGACGGCACAAAUUGAAAAUCAGUUACUGAAGUUAAAGGUGGAAUCCUCGCAGGAAGCCAAUGCUGAGGUCAUGAGAGAGAUGACCAGAAAGCUGUACAGUCAGUAUGAGGAGAAAAUGCGGGAAGAGGAACAGAAGCACAAGGCUGAGAAAGAAAUGCUCCUGGAGGAAACAAACCGGCUUCUGAAGGCUAUUGAAGAGGCAAAUAAGAAGAUGCAGAUUACAGAAACAAGCAUACAGGAGAAAGACCAGAGGAUUGGUGAGCUGGACCGGCUGAUUGAGUGCAUGGAAGAGGAACGUCACCAGCUGAAAAAACAACUUGAAUUAAAUGAACUACAAAUAUCUGGAGCAAAAUCUGAAAACAACUCUGACAGUGAAAGGUCGCAGCACUUGGAGGAGGUGGCAGCCAGCCUGAGGGAGCGGAUCAAGCAUCUGGAUGACAUGGUCCACUGCCAGCAGAAGAAAGUCAAGCAUAUGGUUGAGGAGAUUGAAAUGCUAAGGAAGAAAGUAAAAGAAAAGGAAUUAUUUAUAAUACAGCUUUUAGACAAAAUCUCUUUCUUAGAAUGUGAGAAUAAAGAAUUACAAGAUAAACUGGACUACUUAAUGGAAAACCAACCAAAGACCAAUAUAGAAACCAGAGAUACUGGUGUAGAAUGUGAUCUUCCAUACAGCACAAGCACUGAGAGCAGAUCUCCUGAAAGCCUGCGGCCAGUGAGGACGUACACCCCGUUCAAGAGAGUGCUGGAGUUCAGCACCAAGAGCAGUACAUCCUGAGCAUUCACCUCAUCCAGCUUGCUAAAUACAAACAGAUCUCUUGCGCCUUUGCAGCUUGGUUAGAUAAAUUUUAUCAGUUCAUAGAGAAGAGCAGCAGCAUGGACUCUUGCUAGAUUUAUCCUGAAAGCAGCUCUUUAGUAACUUUAUCCCUGAAGUUACUAGUGAUGUUAAUGUGAGAGGAUAGGGAAGCAGCAGGCUGAGUGAGGCAGCAGUCAGGCAGUACUGCCUCUUUAGAAGCUGCCUAGUGCAAUGUGUCAUUUCAAAUGCCUAUAUGAAGGACUUGUAUAGCUGUACAGUUGGUUUUUUCCCUCAGUUGUGUUGUAAUUCUGUUUGUGUAAUGAAGCUGUAAUAUUGUGUUGUCAGUACUACUGGAGCAGUACCUGAAGUUGUGCUGGCAGAGGGAAUUCGUGUGGAAGUUCUGAAUCUGCCCAGACUGAGGGUGGCUCACACCUGUCCCAGAGACCUGGUACAGCUGAGGGCUGUCUUCACCUGGGAGCAGCUCUUCUGUACCCAGCACUCUUUGUCUGGGAGGGAGAGAUGAACUGGGCUGUCUAAAACCAUUCCCUCAACACAGGGCAGAUGAAUAUUGUGUUUGCUGCUCAAAACAGUAAGGGAUAGAGCAGAUUAUGAUGGAAUUUGCUUUGUUGGACUGAGGCACUGGUUUGCACUUCCUCAGUCAUGGAACAGAGUGACCAUGGGUGACACAUUCAGUAGUAAUUGUGUAGGAAAAUCCCUGAUGCUUUGUUUAUUUACUUUUCCAUUUGAGGAAGGAGUUUCAUUAAACAAAAGUUUGCCUACUGCAACCUGCAGCAGUCCUUACAAUUCCAACAGCAACAGCAAUCCUGAUUCAGGAUUUGGGGGAUUGAGUACUAUUUGUUUGUCCAAAGCACUUAAAAUCUUGUCUUUGGCUCUAAAGUAGGAACAGGAAUGACUGUACCUAGUACUGAACUAAUUUAAAUAUAUAUAUAUAGGGUAUUACUUACAUCUUGUUUUGAUCUUCCACUCUUAGUGAAUUUAAAAUGAAUUAGGGAUAUUUUAUUUUAAUUCUGUUAACAUGAAUGAAGGACCUUGUUUUUUUUAAACUACAGUACCUGUAACAGAAAACAAACAACUUCGGUUCCGUAUGAUCAAUAUUAUUCUUGCAUGCAGUGUCAAUCCCAGGUGUUCACCUUGCCACAAAGCUUCCCAAAGGGAUUGCUUUGAUCUCCAGCCUAAUGCAAUUCAGUCCUGUCUAUUCAAAUCAAGUACACCUACUAAAGUUGUAUUUCAAGUGAUAAUGUUGAUCUCAUACUGAACAAGAAGAUGAGUAAUAACUCUGAUUUCAGGGAUAAGCUUUGUACCUGUGAAAUCUUAUCUCCAUCUAGUGGCUGAUAACAGCAAAUAUUUGGACAGUAUCUGUUUUUGAAGAGAAAGACACUGAAAACUAAUCCAAACAGGUACAUAAUGUCCAUUAGGGAUUCAACUUUAGGUCUUACAGAAUGUCCUUUAGCAUUUCUGUGCCCAAAGAGUCCCUCUGUAAUUCAGGACUUGAAUUCUGAACCAUAGUUUGUGAAAAUUACUUUCAAACUUAAAAUGAGUAGAUGAAGGUGGUAUUUUUAGAUAAAUGGAAAUGUAGGUUGUUGUACAAGACAUUAACUGGCAAGUUUAAAAAAGUGAAAAUCCUUUACCCCUCUGAUUUUGGCCAGAAUUCAGAAAACCUGAUGACUGUGAGGUGCUCAGUGAACGGUAAUAGGGGCCAGGAAGUAUCAAAAUGCUGUUUUGACACAGACUCAAAGGAAGUUCACUCUACUUUCAAUAUACUCCUGAGGAUCUUCUGAAAAUGCUGCAAGCUGGUUUUUAACUCUGAGACUUGCAACAUUAUGAUAAUCUGCUCAAGACUUUACCAGGAAUGCAGCAAGGCCUUAAGUUUUUACUGUAAAGGUGUUCUGUGUAAAUUUUGUCUUGACUGAUGAAAUGCGGUAUUUUUUUGUAAACCAAAUAAGGACUGAAGUCGAAGCUGUAUUUUAAGAGCAUUUUGACAUGCAGUGAGCUGGAUGACCAUCACUUGAUUGGACUACUGCUCCAAAUGUGGUAACUGUGAAGAACAGGAGAGGAACUGUAUUUAUAUCAUUGUGUUACAUGAAAAUGUAGAGCUUUCCAGUCAAAUGAGCAGUAAUGUAAAUUAGCAUAGAUAAUAACAAAACCUGACUGAAAAGACUGUAACACUUCUGUAUAAAUUUUCUCAAUUUGAGACUGAGUUAAUUAGUACUAUCACAUUAAAAAUUAGUAGAAUUUCUGUAAACAGCAAUAAAAGCCAUAUAGGAAGGGCCCAUAAAGUACACUAAAUGUAAGUCAAUUGUAUGACUGCAUUUGUACCAUGAUAAGUAUUCCUUUGUGAUUUAUUCCAGAUACUCUGGAAAGUAUUUUGGGAUACACUUUUCAUAUAUGCUGUACAAAUAAUGUAUUACAUUGUAUGCUUUUAAUACAUCCGGUAUGCAGGACGUGAAAAGGAUAAAUUGCAAUAAACACUCUAUUUAAACUUGUUGUUCUGUUGUGUCAACAAUCUUUUAGAGAUAAACCUACCUUAAAACAUUGCAGACUGUUACUGUUCACAACCUUGUUUGUUCCAAGCACGUGGGAAUGGAAAGCGGCUCCCGCGGAGCCUCGAUGUUCUCGUCGGUGUUUCCCUUGGCAGACGGGCUCUUGAGAACAGGAAGGCACUCCCUGGCUGAAGACUUUCUCAAAGCCAAGUCACAAAAGCAGAUGAAAUAAAAAACUAUUGACUUGCACAGGAUAAACAAAAACCGGGCAGCGUAGCUCUUGGAAAAAACCAACAACUUCAGAUCCUCCAGAUAACAUCUGAAUCCAUCUGGGAUGACGUUCUCCAGUCUUCAGCAGGAUGGGACUGGGAUGGCUCUGGCCCAUCUUUAUUUACAGUUUAUAUCCACUUACGGAUAAUACAGAUUUAUUUUUAAGGCUAUAAAAAUAAAGCAGUCUAUGUGUCAACUAAAGAAGAGGUUGUGCAAACAUGACAAUCACAGUGUCACAGGUUUGUAAUGCUCAGAGGAAGAAUGUCAUGUUUUUAACUCAAACAAUGCUUCCCUAUUUAUGUGUAUUCAGCUCAGAUUGCCAACAAGCCCUGAUAAAAUCUUGUUGAGAUUGGCAGUGCCUGGUGCUGAACCCACAACAGGGGAUUCCUGGGAGCUGGAUACCAGUGCUUUUGAGAGCUCUAAAUACCUGACAUCUGAAAACUUCUGCAUAUGGACAGAUGAGAAGUAAGUUCUGUGUGCAGAAGUCUGUAAUUCUGCACAGGAAAUCCCUGCUCCACAGAACGGAGAUGUACAUGCUGAGAGUUUCAUUCCACUUAUAUUUUACUUCAUUCUUGUUCAGCCCCUGGGGCUAUUUCCAUGUGUAAAAGAAGAAAAGUGCAUGAGAGACCUGAAUUAAGGCCCUUCCAGCCUUACCUGAAGCACAACAUGGAAGGAACACAAGAGAAUAAGGACACAGGAGCCAUUUACAACUCAAGUUGAUGCUGUCUCAGUAUCUGGAUACUGCCCACCUGCUCAUAACCAAGAAUCUGUUUGUUCCAGCGCCUUCCACAUUUCAGCUAUUUGUUCAUCAUCCUGGAACUGUGGGUUACCUGUAAACAGACAAUGUUACUCCAAAAUUCAACACUCCUGAACUGUAAUGAUGAAUAAUAUUCCUUCCCAGUGAACUUGGACAAAUACAGAUUUAAUGAACAGGAUUCCAAGUGAGGUACAGAAUGAUGAGUUGUGAUUCCCAGAAACCAUGUUAUUAACACUUCAUUCUCUUAAUACUUUGCUCUACUUUUUUCUGUGUUUAUUCAGUUCAGCACAUAAAUGGAACCCACUGUAAAUACUGGCAUUGCUAUUCUGUACAUAUCAUAAAGCAGAGGAACAUUUUGUAAGAGCAGUAGUCUAAUAAGAUUAUUCCUUCUAGAUUGUCAUUCCCCUGCUGGCAGGAGUGGUUUCCAUGCCCAGGGUUGCCACUCUCUCCUAUCUGCAGGAUCUAGUGUUCCUUCUUGCAAGAUGCAGAAAUGUGACACAAAUUACUUAAAUCGGCUUAACAGAGGCAGCAAUUCAAAGGACUUGUGUCCUGUAACUGAGGGGGAUCUCCCAGUGAGAAAAACUCAGUGAUUUCCCUGAACUCUCAGGCAAAGCUCCCCCAAGGGAUCUUCCACAGAUGAUCCAGGUAGUGCACAACAGACAGUGAAAUGGUCUCUUCAAGUAGUCACUGGAUGGGUUUUCUCACCCUGACUGCGGUGUUUUUUCCAUGGGUAGCUGCCUGUUGGAUUUAUCUCAUUUCCCCCGGCCCUCAGCCCUUCCCUCGGCCGCCCAGCUGCGCAAACAGAGGGGCAGGCGGACAUUUCGGAGCGCUUCCUUCUCCAGUCCCCCGGCUUGGCACUGCCUCAGUCCUGCUCACAGAACCAGCAGGGCUUUAGCAGUCCCUGCCAAAUGUGCCUCGGACCGAGACACCGCCGCUGCCAUCAGCUUCAAAAGCUGCCAGCGGGGAAUCGCCAUUCCCUAAUGCCCCACUGCGGCUACUGCGUGUGCCAGCUCAGAGCUCCGGAGUCAGUGCCGGCCCACAGCCCCAAACUCCUGCUGGAAUUCCUUCUGGAAUUCCUUCUGAAAUUCCUUCUGGAUUUCCUUCUGAAAUUCCUUCUGGAAUUCCUUCUGGGACCCUUCCGGGGGUGCUGUGGCCCCCCUGGAGCCCCGGCCGGACCUGCCCGCACAGGCACGAACACAGCGUCAGGCACCUGUGACCCUGCAGUAAAAUUCGGCUGAUUAUUCACUUAAAACAUAUCGCUGGAGCAUAUCCAUUGAAAGAUGCGUAUUUCACAAGAAAAUCUAUUUAGAUUUUAAAAUAUAGUAAAUGUGGAAUAACAUAGGUAAGGAACCCUCUGGAUUUUAAAGUUAUGCAUUGGCCAAAAAUGAUAGAAAUUCCCAGAAUUUUGAGAGAAAAAAUUGUUUUCAUACUUUCUUAACAAGUUUCACAGACAAAAGAUGUUGAAAAACGUAGAUAGAAUACCAGAUUGGUCUCUGGGGAGGGGAAAAGGUGAGAGUCUGCUGAAGUGCUAACCCAAACAAUUGCUAAAAGGUGUCAAUUUGCUCUCAAACUCAAACCCACAGCCUUUGUGCGGGACUCCGCGUGUCACUCGCGCCGUGCAGGGCACAAACCGCACUUUUCCCAAUUCCCGCAGGAUAAAGGCGAGUCCCCAGCGGGGUGAGCCCGGCCCCGGCCCCCAGCCCGGCCUCCCCCAGGGCUGUCCCGGGCGGGCCGCGGGACCCUUCGCGUUCCGAGCAAGUCUGGCCCUGCCGCCGCGCCGUCGCUUCCGGCAAGAUGGCGGCCCGCGGGGCGCUGCCGGGUGCCCAUGGC